UAGACAGAUUAUUGUAUUCGACUGUAUUCACGAUAUGUAUUUGUGAAUACAGUAACGUAAAUAGUGCAAUUCAUGAUCUAUUCCGCUGUUUUUAAACUGAAAGUGAAUCAAUUAACAUAAUAGACUCCU
rnacentral:pre_miRNA from 1 species